CCACUAUGAUGAAAGUUUUCCUGCCAUUCGUAGUUUCCACCAGAGGUUGUGUAACCAAAGAUGGCCCAACUCCUUCCUUGGAUGUCUGAGUGA